UCCUAGCCCGGAUUGCAGCGGCAUCCUUCUGGGUUGCGGCCGGAGCGAAGCGAAGGCCGUAACCCAAAAGAUAUAGCGGAAAGCUGGAAUAGCU
rnacentral:sRNA from 1 species